rnacentral:lncRNA from 1 species
GACAGGACCCGAGUUUUGAAUAUCAGCCUGCUUUGGAACAGCGGCCUUCCGGAUAUGCCUCUGAUGCGAGGCAAUACGACAGACCGAGGACUCGAGUUAAUACGUAUAGCAGGAGAGGGCAUGGAACGCAAGCAGGCAGAUAUGCUACAGGAGAUGUUGAACAUCAGCAAGCUUUGAACAGGAACGUCGGAGUUACGUUAAACAGCAGAGGACGUGAAUAUCCAGCAAACACAUGGCAACAAAGAGGGAGAACUCCUUC